CGGUGCACGCACCCACUGACCUGCGCCCACUGUCUGGCACACCCUAGUGAGAUGAACCGGGUACCUCAGAUGGAAAUGCAGAAAUCACCCGUCUUCUGCAUCUCUCACGCUGAGAGCUGUAGACCGCAGCUGUUCCUAUUCGGCCAUCUUGGUUCCUCCUGACUUCAUUUCUUCUUUGCCUUCUUCCAUGAUUGUGAGGCGUCUCCAGCCAUGUGGAACUUUUGAUAGCAGCAGGGGCCCAUCUGGAGCAGCAACUUCCAUGAUGCCAGCUGCAACAGAGGAGGCACAGCUGGGGCUGAGCACUACAUGGAGCUGCCCACCCAUGGCUGCCUAUGGACCAAUCAGCACAUAUUUCCACCUGUCUGAAGCCCAUAAAAACCCUAGACUCAGCCAGACUUGGAGAGAGGAUGGGAUGAUGACCAGCCAUGGAGAGCAGUUACCCACUCCAGAGUCUCCUCUCUGCUGAGAGCUGAGCAGACAUCAGGAUUGCCACUGGCAGUGAGGAGCUACCUACUCCAGGGUCUCCUCUCUACUGAGAGCUGAACACCCAACAGAAUGG
rnacentral:lncRNA from 1 species